AAAGAGCAAUGGCAUUUUACAUCAUGUCCUGAAAGUCAUCAGUCCAUAACCACUAAGAAGUGAUGCAAAAUGCUGGUAAUCUCUGCCCAGCAAGCAAUCCGAGUCCAUGCGGAAAGCUCCUGAAAAACAUCAUCUGUGUAAGGAAGAAUUCCUUCCUACAUCUCGGUUACCAGGAGCAGGAAGCAGGGGAGGUGUCUGCCAAAAAUGGGGAGAAACAUGGGUUCCGUCUGAAGAUGGCCAACUGCUGGGACAAUGCUCUUGCUCACUGUGUGUGCAACUCCUGCAAGUGCUGCCCUCCUGUGUGUUUGAGCACAGGACUCCUCCUGUAGCCAGGAUGUCACCCAUGCAAGCA
rnacentral:lncRNA from 1 species